rnacentral:sRNA from 1 species
ACUCAACACGAAUUCUUUAAAAAGGGUGAGUUGAAGUUGUAAAAGCGCGCCGUCUUUGAGCGGAUACUUGAUCAGCUUGUUAGCCCUAAACAUUCAUUUUAAGGAGUUU